rnacentral:rRNA from 1 species
AGUGAACGCUGGCGGCAGGCUUAACACAUGCAAGUCGAGCGGAGAUGAGGUGCUUGCACCUUAUCUUAGCGGCGGACGGGUGAGUAAUGCUUAGGAAUCUGCCUAUUAGUGGGGGACAACAUUCCGAAAGGAAUGCUAAUACCGCAUACGUCCUACGGGAGAAGGCAGGGGAUCUUCGGACCUUGCGCUAAUAGAUGAGCCUAAGUCGGAUUAGCUAGUUGGUGGGGUAAAGGCCUACCAAGGCGACGAUCUGUAGCGGGUCUGAGAGGAUGAUCCGCCACACUGGGACUGAGACACGGCCCAGACUCCUACGGGAGGCAGCAGUGGGGAAUAUUGGACAAUGGGGGGAACCCUGAUCUAGCCAUGCCGCGUGUGUGAAGAAGGCCUUAUGGUUGUAAAGCACUUUAAGCGAGGAGGAGGCUACUGAGACUAAUACUCUUGGAUAGUGGACGUUACUCGCAGAAUAAGCACCGGCUAACUCUGUGCCAGCAGCCGCGGUAAAAC